GACGAACGCUGGCGGCGUGCUUAACACAUGCAAGUCGAGCGGUAAGGCCCUUUCGGGGGUACACGAGCGGCGAACGGGUGAGUAACACGUGGGUGACCUGCCCUCAGCUCUGGGAUAAGCCUGGGAAACCGGGUCUAAUACUGGAUAUGACUCCAUGACGCAUGUUGUGGGGUGGAAAGCCUUGUGCGGCUGAGGAUGGGCCCGCGGCCUAUCAGCUUGUUGGUGGGGUGAUGGCCUACCAAGGCGACGACGGGUAGCCGGCCUGAGAGGGCGACCGGCCACACUGGGACUGAGACACGGCCCAGACUCCUACGGGAGGCAGCAGUGGGGAAUCUUGCGCAAUGGGCGAAAGCCUGACGCAGCGACGCCGCGUGGAGGAUGAAGGUCCUUGGAUUGUAAACUCCUGUCAGCGGGGAAAAGCGAUUCGACCUAAUACGUCGGAGAGUUGAUUGUACCGCAGAGG
rnacentral:rRNA from 1 species